GUAAAUAUGGUGCUAAAGUAUGAUGCUAUUUAACAAAAAGUUAAAGAACAUGCAAAACUAAUGUAUAAGAAGAUAAGUCAAAACAGAGGUUGCCUUAGGAUGUAUGAUUGCAAAGAGGCUCAAAGGCACUUUUGGGGGGUUGGAUGUUACAUACCUUAAUGUAGGUUUUGGUCAUGCAAAGCUAUGUAUUUAACAAAAUUUAUCAAUGUAUAUACUUAAAAACAUUGUGCCCUGUUGUAUAGAUUACUUCCUAAUUGAAUAAAAGGAGAAUAUUACCCUCCCUUCAAAAAUGCAAACUGCAAGUUAAAAAAUUAUGCAUCUUGAAUAGAUAUAAAUAAAUUUUAGUAAGAAAAUUAUUACGUUCAUACAGGCAAGCACAAAGAUUAAGAAUGCAAGGACUAUGUGAUAUUAACUGUAAUAAAUUCAGUUCAAGAAGAAUUUAAAGCAAAGAACCCUAUAAAAUACAAUAAAAAGGAAUAAAAGAGCGCAACACCAAAUGGUGAAUUUUGCAAACACUUAAGCAUAAUCAUUAUUAUGUAUUAGUAUACAUUACAAAAAAGACAGGAACUUACAAAGAAAAGUUACGAAAUUAAAAUAGUAGUAAGACAAUGACAGAACAAUAUACAAAAAUGGAAAACAACCUACACUAUGUAAUUGAUAACUUAUAUUUAAUUGAGUUAAUUUUUUGUGUGUGUGUUCCAGGACUUAAGGAAUGUUUACAAUGAGUACUAAAAAUCACAACAAUAUCAUCACCUUCAACAACAAAACAGACGAAAGCCAUUUUGAAAAACUCUGCAUACAAAACCGGACUACAGUAAAGGGACACUUGGUCUGUUCACAAAAAUAAUCCUCAUCACUAUUUCUCUCCGGCACUAUGUAGAGAAAGAACUGCGAGUCAGCGAUCUGGAUCUCACAUCUAGAUUUAAUCCCAUGGAAGACAAAAUGAAAAACUUCUUAAUAAAUGAGACAAAACCUGAAUCUGGGUUUUACAUUUUUCUCGAAUUCUACCAGGACAUAGUAA
rnacentral:lncRNA from 1 species